GUGAGGAAUUUUCCGCAAUGGGCGAAAGCCUGACGGAGCAAUGCCGCGUGAAGGAUGAAGGCCUAUGGGUCGUAAACUUCUUUUCUCAGAAAAGAAUUAUGACGGUAUCUGAGGAAUAAGCAUCGGCUAACUCUGUGCCAGCAGCCGCGGUAAGACAGAGGAUGCAAGCGUUAUCCGGAAUGAUUGGGCGUAAAGCGUCUGUAGGUUGUUUAAAAAGUAUUCUGUCAAAGAUUAGGGCUUAACCCUAGAUAGGCAGAAUAAACUUUUAAGCUAGAGUUUGGUAGAGGCAGAGGGAAUUCCCGGUGGAGCGGUGAAAUGCGUAGAUAUCGGGAGGAACACCAAAGGCGAAGGCACUCUGCUGGGCCAAUACUAACACUGAGAGACGAAAGCGAGGGGAGCAAAUGGGAUUAGAAACCCUGGUAGUCC
rnacentral:rRNA from 1 species